rnacentral:rRNA from 1 species
CGUAUCCAACCUUACCCACUAACUACAGGAGUAGACCUUUCGUAAGAAAGAUUAAUACCUGAUAGUACUUUUUCUAAGGACGAUCUUGUAGAAGUUAAAGAAUUUAUUGGUUAUGGAUGGGGAUGCGUUCCAUUAGAUAGUUGGUGAGGUAACGGCUCACCAAGUCUUCGAUGGAUAGGGGUUCUGAGAGGAAGGUCCCCCACAUUGGUACUGAGACACGGACCAAACUCCUACGGGAGGCAGCAGUGAGGAAUAUUGGUCAAUGGGCGAGAGCCUGAACCAGCCAAGUAGCGUGAAGGAUGAAAGGUCCUAUGGAUUGUAAACUUCUUUUAUAGUAGAAUAAAGUGAUCCACGUGUGGAUUUUUGUAUGUAUACUAUGAAUAAGGAUCGGCUAACUCCGUGCCAGCAGCUGC